rnacentral:rRNA from 1 species
UACGUAGGGUGCGAGCGUUGUCCGGAAUUAUUGGGCGUAAAGGGCUCGUAGGCGGUCUGUCACGUCGAAAGUGAAAACUCAGGGCUUAACCCUGAGCCUGCUUCCGAUACGGGCAGACUAGAGGUAUGCAGGGGGAGAACGGAAUUCCUGGUGUAGCGGUGAAAUGCGCAGAUAUCAGGAGGAACACCGGUGGCGAAGGCGGUUCUCUGGGCAUUACCUGACGCUGAGGCACGAAAGCUAGGGGAGCAAACAGG